UACCAGCUCUUCGAGUGGUGUGGAUGUUUAUUGGGCCUAAAGCAUCCGUAGCUGGCUGGGCAAGUCCCCUGUUAAAUCCACCGAUUUAAUCGUUGGAGUGCGGGGGAUACUGUUCGGCUAGGGGACGGGAGAGGCAGACGGUAUUUUCGGGGUAGGGGUGAAAUCCUAUAAUCCCGGGAAGACCACCAGUGGCGAAGGCUGUCUGCUAGAACGCGCCCGACGGUGAGGGAUGAAAGCUGGGGGGAGCGAACCGGAUUAGAUACCCGGGUAGUCCCAGCUGUAAACGAUGCAGGCUAGGUGUUUGGGCGGCCACGUGCCGCUCUAGUGUCGCAGGGAAGCCGUUAAGCCUGCCGCCUGGGGAGUACGGCCGCAAGGCUGAAACUUAAAGGAAUUGGCGGGGGAGCACCACAAGGGGUGAAGCUUGCGGUUU
rnacentral:rRNA from 1 species